rnacentral:sRNA from 1 species
AAGUGAAAUAUUUUGCAUGUGCAAAAUGUGAAAUAACCGCUCCGCGGUUGUGAAAUUUUCUGCUUCGCAGAAAGUGAAAUGAAAU